AACUCUACAAUAACUCAUUUACGGGAGAACUUCCAGCGACGUGGUGGUCGAAGAUGACGACGCUGAGACGAAUCGACGGGUCCAUGAACUAGUUGGCCGGAACCAUUUCUAUUGAGCUAUGCCAUUUGCCGCUCGAGUCACUCAAUCUCUAUGAGAAUCAAUUAGAAGGUGAGUUCGAAUCUAUAUGAAGGUUACGCCUCUUUCGCAAUCAUCUGAAAGGAUACCAAAAAAUCUCGGUAAAAACUCUGUCUUUACUUUGGAUUGAUGUUUCAGAAAAUGAUUUCUCCGGUGAAAUUUGAGAAAAUUUGUGUGGGUUGGAUUUUCUGGAGGAGGUGAUGAUGAUAUAAAAUUCCCUCUUUGGCAGGCAACUCAUUUUCCGGUGAAAUUGUAAAAACCAUAGCCGGUGCUGUAAAUUUGUCGGCUUUGUUUUUGUCAAAGAACAGAUUUUCCGGUACCUCUCCGGUGAUAUUCCGUCUUUGUAUGCUAAGCCAAUAUAUAUGGAUAACUUUGUGGGGAAUUCUGGGUUGUGUGGAGACAUCGAGGGGUUCUGUGAUGAGAGAGAUGAGAGGAAAAACACUGGUUAUGCUUGGUUAUUGAGAUCGAUCUUGGUGCUUGCUAGGCUGGUGCUUAUUGUGGGAGUUAUGUGGUUCUAUUGGAAGUAUAUGAAUUUCAAGAAGGCGAAACCAGUUAUAGAUAGAUCGAAAUGGUCCUUGAUGUUAUUUCAUAAGUUGGGUUUCGAUGAGUACUAUAUAUUGGAUGGUCAUGAUGAAGAUAAUGUCAUUGGAUGUGGGUUGUCUAGAAAGGUUUACAAGGUUGUGCUGCGAGGUGGUUGCUGUGAAGAAGAUCAGGAAGAAUUUGAAGCUAGCUGAUGAGAGCAGUGACAUUGAGAAAGGCAGUUAUCAAGACGAUAGGUUUGAAGCAGAGAUUGACACAUUGGGGAAGAUUAGGCAUAAGAUCAUUGUUAAGCUAUUUUGUUCAUCUCUGUUCUUGUUACGUUGUAGCUGGAAACAACCAUUAAAAUGCAGGAAUAAAAGAAAUUAGGAGAAAACAACAUAAAAAGACCAAAAAGUCCUUCUAAUUCACGGUCUACAUACGGCACAAGUUACGGAGGACUAAAAGUGUCUAACGAUCAAAAAGUGUGGCUAGAAUCUGGUCAUUUUUAUUAUGGAGGACUAAAACUGGCAUACGCCUAAUAAGUCUAGGACCAAAAGUGGAAUUAAGAAUUUUGGUAGUAGUAGUUAAGUUGGGUUAGCCUGUGCGUUUGAGUAUGAGAGAUAUACUUGAACGUGGCAUAACAUCCCCUUUUCCUUUUGGUUGGUAUUUAAAAGCUUUUGCUAUUGUACUUGAAUUGUAAUAAAAAAAUGUUACCCGUACUUUUGUAAGAGGAAAAAGUGGGGGUGUUACAGUCGGAUAUAUUUCGAUCUGAUUGUGAGAAAAAUGGCAAUAAAACUAAGCUAGUAGUAAUGAAGCUGAAUUGGAGAGAAUGAGUGUAGAGAAUCAAGUUUUAAGGGACAUGUUGAGUCAGGUUUCCGACAAGUACAGUAAUCUUCAAACGCAGAUGAUAAGCUUGAUGCAACACCAAAA